rnacentral:rRNA from 1 species
GACAGAGGUGCCAAGCGUUAGGCGGAAUCACUGGGCUUAAAGCGCACGUAGGCGGCAUCGUAAGUGUCCGGUGAAAUCCCACGGCUCACCCGUGGAACUGCCUGGCAGACUGCGAUGCUCGAGUGUGGUAGGGGAGAGCGGAACUCCUGGUGGAGCGGUGAAAUGCGUAGAUAUCAGGAGGAACACCGGUGGCGAAGGCGGCUCUCUGGUCCACAACUGACGCUGAGGUGCGAAAGCUAGGGGAGCAAACGGG